AUCACUUCUUGGCCUUUUGGCUAAGAUCAAAUAUAGCUUUCUUUUCUUA
rnacentral:snRNA from 1 species